rnacentral:rRNA from 1 species
AUUGAACGCUGGCGGCAGGCUAAAAACAUGCAAGUCGAACGAGUGGCGGACGGGUGAGUAAUGCUUGGGAAUCCAGCUUAUGGGGGGGGAUAAAUACGGGAAACUGUAGCUAAUACCGCGUACCAUAGGAUGAGCCCAAGUGGGAUUAGGUAGUUGGUGAGGUAAAGGCUCACCAAGCCGACGAUCUCUAGCUGGUCUGAGAGGAUGAACGGCCACAUUGGGACUGAGACACGGCCCAGACUCCUACGGGAGGCAACAGUGGGGAAUAUUGCGCAAUGGGGGCAACCUGACGCAGCCAUGCCGCGUGAAUGAAGAAGGCCUUCGGGUUGUAAAGUUCUUUCGGUAGCGAGGCGUUAACUACAGAAGAAGCACCGGCUAACUCCGUGCCAGCAGCCGCGGUAAUAC